UACAGAGGUCUCAAGCGUUGUUCGGAUUCAUUGGGCGUAAAGGGCGCGUAGGCUGUGGGGUAAGUCUGGUGUGAAAUCUCGAAGCUCAACUUCGAGACUGCACUGGAUACUGCCUUACUUGAGGACUGGAGAGGAGAUUGGAAUUCACGGUGUAGCAGUGAAAUGCGUAGAGAUCGUGAGGAAGACCGGUGGCGAAGCGGAUCUCUGGACAGGUUCCUGACGCUGGAGGCGCGAAGGCCAGGGGAGCAAACGGG
rnacentral:rRNA from 1 species